rnacentral:misc_RNA from 1 species
GGAGUUCCUACAUACAUACAUCAUUCUGCUGGUUAUUCAAGCAUUGAUCUAGAGAAGACUCAGCUGCAGCUACACAGAAGCUGUGGUUGCUCGUCCAUCGUUGUUGCACAGUCAGCUUUAUUCCAGAUCCAUCUUGAAAACCGUCUAAAUUUGCAAUAAUGCAUCUGCGGAAGGAAUAUUGUUCGUCGUAUCCAGCUCCUCAUCAAUCAUGACAUCUCCGUUCUCGUCAAACACAUUGGCUGAUGUAAUCCCAUCAAGAGAAAACAAUUGACUCGCACAAGCGGAGAUGGAUACUGGGCUGGUUUGCAUCUCAACAGAAGGAUGUUCCACAGCAGAACCUAUAUCUGUGCGCGUGCCAUUUUGAGUAGCUACCCGAUCAAUCUUGCCACCACUCAAAUUACAUGUGGCAGAACUUGGAUGCUGGAGCUCAGUCAGAUCAUUUUCCACAUUGACUAAUGUGUGUGUUCUAUUGCUUGCUGUCACCACAUCAGGUUUGGCUGUAGUAAGCUGAAGAGCUUGUCGCUUCGACUGGCCACUUCCAGGACCAAGUUGAGCAUUCAACUGCGUCUGCACCCAGACAGCUAGAGAAAGUGCAUGAUCACGAAUCAAAGAAUCAUGAGGUGGGCAGUGUAACAUAUCGACCAGAGCCUGCAUAUACUGGAACAUACUGACGGAUGGAGUAUUAGACCCUUUGUCACGUAGACAUUUAAUGCUUUUAAGAAUAUGCUCGCAUAAGUUUCCCAUUUUCGCCCAAUUACAAUCACAAAGUGCAUAUUCGGAAGCUGGAUUCCAAACAACAUGCACUUUAUGUCGAUCUUCCUGAUCAACAACUUUUGAAUAAUCACCCUCAAUUAACACAUCUGAAUCUGGAAUCUGCAAAGAUUUCUGCCAAGCUGUUAAGCCACUCAUCCAUUCAUCCUUCCAGUAUCGUGCGAAAUCAUCCUUCCCUGAGUACUCAUCAAGCCAGAAGU